CGGGACUCAUGCUUCUCGUAGGAAAUAGAUAAAGUCCGUGUAGCUGCUAUAGUAUUACCUUAGCUUUGUCCCAGCAAAACUUAAACCGUAGAUCGUCGUCCAAAAACACUGUUUGUAAGUAAGUAGGCAAGUCUGCAUAGUCAUAGCAGGUGUAAGUCUCGACUUAUAGAUUACCUCGGGUUGUUAGCCAUUGGGUCAUCAUCCGGACAUCUUACUUACAGAAGUAAACGACUAAUGUAACCACUUUAGGAAUCAUCCCUGGCUCUCGGAAGCGUUUUAGGCGUGAGGUGUAGGCGAAAUCUUGCCUAAGAGGCCACAUCCUUCCGAGUCGCAACUUGAUUUCGCAAGUUGCUUAUAAUAGUGAAGAUUUGCACGUCAAGGAUGAACCAUCUUGUCACGCGAACUCUUUUAUGGGGAGGGGUCUUGCACUUAACGCCUCUUCUGGUUAGAGACCCAGGAUCCCACGAAAUUGAAUCCUUCAAUUGACUAAGUCUAUUCCAGGGGAAGGACUAUCGUGGCCAAUUCUGGGAGUCGUUCAACUCAGGUAGUCACUGUAUUUAGGGGAAACUGAGUAGUCGUACCACUCAUCCAUGUCUGGAUAUUCUGGAUUAGUUUACCCUCUCGUAUUGGAGAGCAUAUGCCAUGUCUGAACGGGCAGAUGACGUCUUCUGCUUGUCACAAUGGUGGUUGAGGAAUUAGUUUACCCUUUCGCUAGAGAGCUUAUGCUAUAUCUGAUUGGGCAGAGGGCAUCUUCUGCUUGUCAUAUGGGUGGUUGAGGAAUUAGUUUACCCUUUCGCGCUAGAGAACUUACACCAUGUCUGAAUGGGCAGAAGAUGUCUUCUGCUUGUCACAGGGUUGGUCAAUUUGUUUAUGCAUUUAGCCCAAGCUUGUGAAUAACUCUGUCGAUCUUCAUUUGAAAAUAGAGGUUUUUAUUAACUUUGCUCGUAGACAGUAAUAACAUAACAACUGAUAAUUCUCAGCCUGCGAGGUCUUGUUCAUCGAGCUGCUUGAGUCUUCAAAUUUUUUUCGUCUUGAACAGGGUCCAAGGAAUAGUGGGGGGGGUCACACGUAAUACUUUCUCAGGUUGUAGGCAUUCCACUACUUGUUGAUUUCUUUGUCGCUCAUAAUGGUGAGGGUGUAGCUGCCCUUUCUGCCUACUCAGCUGAUUUUGUACGGACCUUCCCAUAUGUGAGCCAUCUUUUUUAUAGCCUUUCCGUCGGGUGGUGAUAAAGG
rnacentral:lncRNA from 1 species